UACGUAGGGUGCAAGCGUUGUCCGGAAUUAUUGGGCGUAAAGAGCUCGUAGGCGGUCUGUCGCGUCGGAUGUGAAAACCCAGGGCUCAACCCUGGGCCUGCAUUCGAUACGGGCAGACUAGAGUUCGGUAGGGGAGACUGGAAUUCCUGGUGUAGCGGUGAAAUGCGCAGAUAUCAGGAGGAACACCGGUGGCGAAGGCGGCUCACUGGGCCGGUCCUGACGCUGAGACGCGAAGGCGUGGGGAGCGAACGGG
rnacentral:rRNA from 1 species